CUCCGAUUUGACACACUGAACUCUAUCAGAGAAGUAGUUGGUAAACCAGGUGAUGCAAUCAUUAGAGAAACCAAGGCUGUCGAGUCUGCCGAUGAGGAUGUGGUGAUUGACAGAGUCGAAAGCUUUGGCCAGGUCAAUGAAAACGGCAGCACAGUAUUGUUUCUUAUCGAAAUAUCGUUUAGGACCUUGAGGGUGGCUGAGGUGCAGCCAUGACCAGCUCUGAAACCAGAUUGCAUAGCGGAGAAGUGCUCAGUAUGCCUCUGGAACAGGCUUAUCUAAGUGGGCGAGAGCCACAUGCAUCCAGCAAGACUACCAAGGACAGGAGCAACACUGCCACCCUGCUGGCCUCCAGGAGUACUGCAGUCACAGAGUCCAUCGGAAGAGGCUCUCGCAGCGGCUCUGAAAAAGAUUCUGGAUAUUCCGACAACAACAGCUGUUCAGACUGGCUCCAUGCGGAUGGGGAGGACCGGGGCAGCAGCUUGAGUGAGCCCAGGGGAAGGGAGGGUCUUCAGGGCCAGGUCAAGCCCAAGCAGGUCCCUCUCCAGGGGAACGACUUCCUGGUCCGCAGCCCCGGAGGCCCCGACCUCACCCCCAUCUUCAUCAUCAAGAACGUGGUGUUCAAACAGAACAAGAGGAUCUGUACAGAGGACAAGAGGGAUGAGGUGUCCACUAUUACUCACUUACAGACGCCAUCCAGGCAACACGUCCGCAAGCAGCCAGACCCCAAGAGAAGCUUGUCUCACUGGAGGAGCCCUGCCUCCUCCCACUCCCCCAGCCCCAGCUCUCGAUCUCCCUCCAGCCUUUCCUGCCUUGUCUCCCCCUCUGUGUCCGCCUCCUCUUCCGGUGGCUCCUCUCCCCUCCCGGCCAGCAGGUGGCCUUGCAGGCACAGUCCAGGCCUGUCCUUGUUCAGUGUGGAGCGUGACAGGCGCUUCCUGAACACGGUGGGCAUCCUAAGCCAGUCAGGCCUGCUUGACAUCACGCUGCGCACCCAGGACCUCCUCCGCCAGAGCAAUGCCACAGACCGAGACAUCGCCCAGCUCCGCCAGCACACUCAGCUGCUGUACCAGGCCGCCAACCAAAACAACAACCCCAAUAACGACAACCCCUAUAACAACAACGACCCACACAACAACAACCCCAAUGCCAACACAGGCUGGGAGAGGAUACACCAGGCUAUGGCUCAGUCAGGUUGCUACCCCAGCCUGAAGAACCUGGGGAGUGAAGAGGAUACACCAGG
rnacentral:lncRNA from 1 species